UACGAAGGGGGCUAGCGUUGCCCGGAAUCACUGGGCGUAAAGCGCACGUAGGCGGAUUGCUAAGUCAGGGGUGAAAUCCUGGAGCUCAACUCCAGAACUGCCUUUGAUACUGGCGAUCUCGAGUCCGGGAGAGGUGAGUGGAACUGCGAGUGUAGAGGUGAAAUUCGUUAGAUAUUCGCAAGAACACCAGUGGCGAAGGCGGCUCACUGGCCCGGUACUGACGCUGAGGUGCGAAAGCGAUGGGGAGCAAACGGG
rnacentral:rRNA from 1 species